GACGAACGCUGGCGGCGUGCCUAAUACAUGCAAGUAGAACGCACAGUUUAUACCGUAGCUUGCUACACCAUAGCCUGUGAGUUGCGAACGGGUGAUUAACGCGUAGCUAACCUGCCUGGUAGCGGGGGAUAACUAUUGGAAACGAUAGCUAAUACCGCAUAAUAUUGAUUAUUGCAUGAUAAUUGAUUGAAAGAUGCUAUUGCAUCACUACCAGAUGGACCUGCGUGGUAUUAGCUAGUAGGUGAGGUAACGGCUCACCUAGGCGACGAUACAUCGCCGACCUGAGAGGGUGAUCGGCCACACUGGGACUGAGACACGGCCCAGACUCCUACGGGAGGCAGCAGUAGGGAAUCUUCGGCAAUGGACGAAAGUCUGACCGAGCAACGCCGCGGGAGUGAAGAAGGUUUUCGGAUCGUAAAGCUCUGUUGUAAGAGAAGAACGGGUGUGAGAGUGGAAAGUUCACACUGUGACGGUAUCUUACCAGAAAGGGACGGCUAACUACGUG
rnacentral:rRNA from 1 species